rnacentral:lncRNA from 1 species
UAAAUUGACUGUUCACACGUAGAAUGAACUGAUGAUCUCUUUUAUAGCAACACAGAAUAUAUAUUAUUAGAAGUGGAUCCAUGAAUUCCCACCUCCUUACCUUCAUUUCAGCAUUUAUAAACCUCAUUUUGUACUACUGUAGAUGUCUCAACAGAAAACUUAUCCUUGCUUCUUUUCUUUCUGUCUUCUCUAGGACUUAGUUCAGUAAAUUUUGCUUGCCCUCUUCAGUCUGUAAUCCAUUUUCUGCUGGUAUCUUUCCUUCAAUCUAUAAACUUGUUCAACAGUGAACCAUGCUAAAAGCAAACCAUAAUGACUAAAAUCUCUCCUUAUUCUGUUUUCCUUACCAAAAUAACACCCAUCAUCCUGUUUUCUUUCAUAACUUGACUCUUGAAGUCUCCACUACCUCCAACUCUUCAUCUAUAUUUCAUUUCUCCAAUUCCAGUAUACUUUCUAUAAAAACCAUUCUCUUAAAGAUUAAUGGUGAUUUCUAAAUUACCAGACCCAAUAUCCUAGUCUUCCUCUUGACUUAUUUAAUCUUUUCAGCAUUUGAUAAUGUUAGCCUUUCCUUCCAUAAAAAUCUAUUCUCUGUUGCACUCUCCAAAAUCAUUCCUGUAUCUUUAUCUCUUUAACUCUGAUUCCUUCAUUAGAUCCUCUUUCUCUGUCCCAUGAAGCCAGACUAUUUCUUAUGUGAGUUGUUCUCAAAGGAUUGAUAGUCCUAUGGAUGGGCAUUUAGUGAAGACAAUACUGUGAAAUUACUCCAUGAUCAUCCAAGGAGUGGAAGAGAGAUGAUUCUUGCCAAGAACACAAACGUUGGAAGAAACAGAGAUUUCAGUCUUCUGUUAAACUGACAUCAAAUUAAACAAGGUAUGUACUAAUAACCUGGACUUCAGCUUUGGUAUUGACAAAUAAUAAUUUGGACCAACCACCCCAAGGAGAAAAACUAGAAAAGCUGGAGAAGAUAUAAACACAUCUAUCUAUAUAUAGAUAUAGAUAUAGACAUAGAUAUGUCUCUUUGAAAGCACCAGAGAGUUAAUAAAGCAGUGAAAAAUAUCUAGAAGAUUGAAACCCAAAGGAGUUAGCCCAGCAUUUGUAGCUGCCACUUGCCAACUCCAGAAUUGGCAACUGAGAAACUAAACAGAACUUUUGACAAUUUUUUAGGGAGUAUAGGUGAACUCAAAGCUACCGGGGUAUUGAAGGAACUAAAGCUCAGUUUCAAAUCAUCUUAGUCCUUGAAUUUGAUUAAAUUGAUCCUGCUAUUAGAUUCCCAAACUGCCUGACAAAAGCAAUUUUAAAUACUCUUUGGGGAAAAACAAAUUCUUGCACAUAAAUCAUUUAAAUAAUAUUUCAUAUUUAUUGUCCAUCACUAAACCAGAAAUUAACCAGUCAUGAAGAAAAAAAGCAUGAUUUUUAAAAAAUUCCUGACCUGAUUUAUUCUUCUGUUCUUAAUAAUGCAUAAAAUAUACUCUUUGCUAAUGAUGUUUAAUCCUAGGUGGAGGAAUUUAUGGUGUUUAUUCUGUGUUAAAUAUAAUAUGAAGUUAUUCUGUGUUAAAUAUAAUACAAGUGUUUUCCUGUGGUAUGUAAAUGUUUAUAAUGGGCAUAUGUUCAUUUUUCAAAAACAAACUAGUUGUCAUUAGUAUUAUUAUUUUUAAUUUUAUUUUUUUGUCUUUUUGUCUUUUUAGGACUGCACCCACGGCAUAUGAAGGUUCCAGACUAGGGGUCGAAUCAGAGCUGUAGCUGCUGGCCCACGCCACAGCCACAGCCACAGCAACGCCAGCCAAGCUGCCUCUGUGACCUAUACCACAGCUCACAGUAAUGCCGGAUCCUUAGCCCAUUGACUGAGGCCAGGGAUCAAACCUGCAACCUCAUGGUUCCUAGUCGGAUUAAUUUCCACUGUGCCACAGUGGGAACUCUGUGCAUUAUUAUUUUUUAAAGAGCACAGGUUUGGGAAUCUGAGAGACCUGCGUAUAAAUCCUGGCUCUGACACCAAGUAACAAAAUAGCUUAGAAAAUUUAAUCUUUGAACUUCAGUUUUCUCAUCUGAAAAGCGAGGGCAUUAAUGCUAGUUUUUUAAGGUGGUUGUAUUAAACAUAAAACAAUAUGUGUAUAUAAAACAAUAUGGUUCAUGCCAAAAAUGAUUGAUAUUACCUUCUUUUGGUGGGGGUUAUUUGGUGAAAUCUGGCUGUUCCGUAGUUUGUCGUAUAAUCUAAAACAUUUAUUUGCUUACUUACCUUUAAAAUGUUGGAAUGUGUAUUAAAUAUUUCAGUGUACCUUCAACUUCUCCUAGAGAUGAUUCUCAUUUGUAUGCCCACUUUGCAAUCUGUUGUGUUAAUCCAUGACCAUCUCUCCUCUCCAAAUCUCUUGUUCAUCUCUUGUCACAGUUGAUUGGUCCAGAAGAGGACUCUGAUGAAAACUAGGCUAAUCCUGGCUACAGGUGACUGGUCCAAUCCAGACCAGUGCAUUCCUUUCCUAAAUGGUUUUGAUCAAAUGUGAAAAGGAAAUUUUCUGGUUACUUUUCAGUGUCUGAGAGAUAUAAAGCUUAAGAACUCUUAAGGGCACACAUUCCCAUCAUGUAAAAAAGCAUGACUAAUUUGCAGAUGGAAAAUUAAAAAAAAAAAAAGAGUUGAAGAGCUACCUCCGAAGUGUUCACUUUCCUGAUCCCAGCUCUGGAAACUUAGCUGUGGAGUUUCCGUUGUGGCACAGCAGAAACGAAUCCAAUUAGGAACUGUGAGGUUGCAGGUUCAAUCCCUGGCUUCGCUCAGUGAGUUAAGGAUCUGGUGUUGCCUGUGGUGUAGCUGUGGUGUAGGCUGGCAGCUGUAGCUCUAAUUGGAACCCUAGCUGGGAACCUCCAUAUGCCAUAGGUACACCCCAAAAAAGCAAAAAAUAAAAAUUAAAAUAAAUAAAUAAAUAAAAUAACUGACCAUGGAGGAAAUUGACAAAAUAUUGAAAUUUUUUGUGGAAAUUUGAACUAUGGUAAAGAGCUGUGAAAAAUGCAUAGGCUGAAUUAUUUUUAUACUCUUCUAGCACAGAACGAAAAUCUCAAGUGUUUCUGUUGAAUAAGUUAGAAGGGCAUAUUGAACAUGUUCUAGGUGAGUGUGAUGGCCAUAGUUCUUAAAAAGUAAUUCAAAAUAAGCCUAGGGAGUUCACUUUGUGGCACAAUGAUUAACGAAUCCGACUAGGAAUCAUGAGAUUGCAGGUUCAAUCCCUGGCUUCGCUCAGUGGGUUGAGGAUCCAGCAGUGCUGUGAGCUGUAGUGUAGGUCACAGAUGCGGCUCAGAUCCCACGUUGCUGUGGUUCUGGCGUAGGCUGGCAGCUACAGCUCAGAUUGGACUCCUAGCCUGGUAACCUCCAUGUGUCGCGGGUGCAGCCCU